GACCAGAAGCAGGGGCGACCCCAAGCUUCCCCAAAGCCCUAGUUCAUCACAAAACUCACAAAUUGAAGGUCCAAAUCUGAUCCAAAACGAAAUCCGAGCCAAGAUUAAUGAUCCCCAUCGAAAGGAGAUCAUAAGGAAAAGAUACCGGAGUGUCGGGCGGACAAGCCGGUGGUGACACGCGUUUGGAAGGAGCGGUUUAAAGGUAAUGAUGGGGACUUUCUGGAUGGCGAUCAAGCAUAUUUUGAAGAACCGAACACUACAUUUUGAAGCUUCCGCGCUUACCUAGUCUUGUUGCAAACAAUGUUUUAAUAAUGUAAUUACUUGAUUUGGUACUUUUGGGAUGUUAAACUCGUUGGUAGUUAACUACUAAGUUGACACUAUUAAA